GACGGUUGUCCUGGUUCAAGUGCGUAGGCUUGAGAGUUAGGUAAAUCCGGCUCUCUCUAAGGCUGAGACACGACGUCGAGCUACUACGGUAGUGAAGUCAUUGAUGCCAUGCUUCCAGGAAAAGCCUCUAAGCUUCAGAUAGUCAGGAAUCGUACCCCAAACCGACACAGGUGGUCGGGUAGAGAAUACCAAGGCGCUUGAGAGAACUCGGGUGAAGGAACUAGGCAAAAUGGUACCGUAACUUCGGGAGAAGGUACGCUCUUGAUGGUGAAGUCCCUCGCGGAUGGAGCUGACGAGAGUCGCAGAUACCAGGUGGCUGCAACUG
rnacentral:rRNA from 1 species